rnacentral:rRNA from 1 species
AUUGAACGCUGGCGGCAUGCUUUACACAUGCAAGUCGAACGGUAACAGGCCGCAAGGUGCUGACGAGUGGCGAACGGGUGAGUAAUGCAUCGGAACGUGCCCAGUCGUGGGGGAUAACUACUCGAAAGAGUAGCUAAUACCGCAUACGAUCUAUGGAUGAAAGCGGGGGACCGUAAGGCCUCGCGCGAUUGGAGCGGCCGAUGUCAGAUUAGGUAGUUGGUGGGGUAAAGGCUCACCAAGCCAACGAUCUGUAGCUGGUCUGAGAGGACGACCAGCCACACUGGGACUGAGACACGGCCCAGACUCCUACGGGAGGCAGCAGUGGGGAAUGUUGGACAAUGGGCGCAAGCCUGAUCCAGCAAGGCCGCGUGCAGGAAGAAGGCCUUCGGGUUGUAAACUGCUUUUGUACGGAACGAAACGGCUCUGGUUAAUACCCAGGGCUAAUGACGGUACCGUAAGAAUAAGCACCGGCUAACUACGUG